rnacentral:rRNA from 1 species
GAUGAACGCUGGCGGCGUGCCUAAUACAUGCAAGUCGAGCGAACGGACGAGAAGCUUGCUUCUCUGAUGUUAGCGGCGGACGGGUGAGUAACACGUGGAUAACCUACCUAUAAGACUGGGAUAACUUCGGGAAACCGGAGCUAAUACCGGAUAAUAUUUUGAACCGAAUGGUUCAAAAGUGAAAGACGGUCUUGCUGUCACUUAUAGAUGGAUCCGCGCUGCAUUAGCUAGUUGGUAAGGUAACGGCUUACCAAGGCAACGAUGCAUAGCCGACCUGAGAGGGGGAUAGGCCACACUGGAAGUGAGACACGGGCCAGACUCCUACGGGAGGCAGCAGUAGGGAAUCUUCCGCAGUGGGCGAAAGCCUGACGGAGCAACGCCGCGUGAGUGAUGAAGGUCUUCGGAUCGUAAAACUCUGUUAUUAGGGAAGAACAUAUGUGUAAGUAACUGUGCACAUCUUGACGGUACCUAAUCAGAAAGCCACGGCUAACUACGUG